GUACACUCCUACGGGAGGCAGCAGUAGGGAAUCUUCGGCAAUGGGGGCAACCCUGACCGAGCAACGCCGCGUGAGUGAAGAAGGUUUUCGGAUCGUAAAGCUCUGUUGUAAGUCAAGAACGAGUGUGAGAGUGGAAAGUUCACACUGUGACGGUAGCUUACCAGAAAGGGACGGCUAACUACGUGCCAGCAGCCGCGGUAAUACGUAGGUCCCGAGCGUUGUCCGGAUUUAUUGGGCGUAAAGCGAGCGCAGGCGGUUUGAUAAGUCUGAAGUUAAAGGCUGUGGCUCAACCAUAGUUCGCUUUGGAAACUGUCAAACUUGAGUGCAGAAGGGGAGAGUGGAAUUCCAUGUGUAGCGGUGAAAUGCGUAGAUAUAUGGAGGAACACCGGUGGCGAAAGCGGCUCUCUGGUCUGUAACUGACGCUGAGGCUCGAAAGCGUGGGGAGCGAACAGGAUUAGAAACCCGGGUAGUCC
rnacentral:rRNA from 1 species